GAGUUUGAUCUUGGCUCAGAUUGAACGCUGGCGGCAUGCCUUACACAUGCAAGUCGAACGGCAGCACGGGAGCUUGCUCCUGGUGGCGAGUGGCGAACGGGUGAGUAAUAUAUCGGAACGUACCCUAGAGUGGGGGAUAACGCAGCGAAAGUUGCGCUAAUACCGCAUACGAUCUACGGAUGAAAGUGGGGGAUCGCAAGACCUCAUGCUCAUGGAGCGCCGAUAUCUGAUUAGCUAGUUGGUGGGGUAAAGGCCUACCAAGGCAUCGAGUCAGUAGCUGGUCUGAGAGGACGACCAGCCACACUGGAACUGAGACACGGUCCAGACUCCUACGGGAGGCAGCAGUGGGGAAUUUUGGACAAUGGGGGCAACCCUGAUCCAGCAAUGCCGCGUGAGUG
rnacentral:rRNA from 1 species